AUUGAACGCUGGCGGCAUGCCUUACACAUGCAAGUCGAACGGCAGCAUAGAGAGCUUGCUCUCUGAUGGCGAGUGGCGAACGGGUGAGUAAAGCAUCGGAACGUACCGUGUAGUGGGGGAUAACGUAGCGAAAGUUACGCUAAUACCGCAUACGUACUGAGGUAGAAAGCAGGGGAUCGUAAGACCUUGCGCUAUACGAGCGGCCGAUGUCAGAUUAGCUAGUGGGUAGGGUAAAGGCCUACCAAGGCGACGAUCUGUAGCGGGUCUGAAAGGAUGAUCCGCCAAACUGGGACUGAGACACGGCCCAGACUCCUACGGGGGGCAGCAGUGGGGAAUUUUGGACAAGUGGGGCAACCCUGAUCCGGCCAUGCCGCGUGAGUGAAGAAGGCCUUCGGGUUGUAAAGCUCUUUCGGCCGGGAAGAAAUCGCACAGGCUAAUACCCUGUGUGGAUGACGGUACCGGCAUAAGAAGCACCGGCUAACUACGUGCCAGCCGCCGCCGUAA
rnacentral:rRNA from 1 species